AUACGUAGGGUGCGAGCGUUGUCCGGAAUUACUGGGCGUAAAGAGCUCGUAGGUGGUUUGUCGCGUCGUCUGUGAAAUUCCGGGGCUUAACUCCGGGCGUGCAGGCGAUACGGGCAUAACUUGAGUACUGUAGGGGAGACUGGAAUUCCUGGUGUAGCGGUGAAAUGCGCAGAUAUCCGGAGGAACACCGGUGGCGAAGGGGGGUCUCUGGGCAGUAACUGACGCUGAGGAGCGAAAGCAUGGGUAGCGAACAGGAUUAGAUACCCUGGUAGUCCAUGCCGUAAACGGUGGGCGCUAGGUGUAGGGGUCUUCCACGACUUCUGUGCCGUAGCUAACGCAUUAAGCGCACCGCCUGGGGAGUACGGCCGCAAGGCUAAAACUCAAAGGAAUUGACGGGG
rnacentral:rRNA from 1 species